UUUGUACCUCUACCAUACAUCGUCGUUUUUUUAUUCUUUAUAACCACGUGCAAAUAUGUUCUUCAAGUAUAGUUAUACGUAUCUCUAGUAGGCCGUGGUUUCUUCUACAAGGGUUUAAGUUAAGUACUAUUGCUACUUUUACUUACACACGAAUAUGGUUAUUUAUGAGUAGCCUAUAAUGUUACACAAAGAUAUAUAAUAAUAUGACAGUAUUUCAAAACUACUCUUUGGUAUUUGGGGACGACUAUAUUCAUUUAAUACCAACAUUUUAAUAAAACUACAAACCAAA